GCCGGACGUGGUGGCGCAUGCCUGUAAUCCCAGCUACUCGGGAGGCUGAGGCAGGAGAAUCGCUUGAACCCCGGAGGCGGAGGUUGCGGUGAGCCUGAGAUCGUGCCAUUGCACCACUCCAGCCUGGGCAACAAGAGCGAAACUCUGUCUCGAAAAAAAAGAAUGCAAAGGCAAAAAUGACUCUUUUCUUUUUUUUGAGACGGAGUCUUGCCCUGUUGCCCAGGCUGGAGUGCAGUGGCAUGAUCUCGGCUCACCGCAACCUCUGCCUCCUGGGUUUAAGUGAUUCUCCUGCCUC
ensembl:misc_RNA Metazoa_SRP Metazoan signal recognition particle RNA